UACGUAGGGUGCGAGCGUUGUCCGGAAUUAUUGGGCGUAAAGGGCGCGUAGGCGGCCUGCUAAGUCGGAUGUGAAAUCCCUCGGCUCAACCGAGGAACUGCAUCCGAUACUGGCGGGCUUGAAUCCGGGAGAGGGAUGUGGAAUUCCAGGUGUAGCGGUGAAAUGCGUAGAUAUCUGGAGGAACACCGGUGGCGAAGGCGGCAUCCUGGACCGGUAUUGACGCUGAGGCGCGAAAGCUAGGGGAGCAAACGGG
rnacentral:rRNA from 1 species